ACCCAGCAUGGGUACCUAGGUAAUUUUAGGUUAACAAUAACCCAAAGGCGCUCUUCUUCUUUCAUUUUCACUCUCUCUCUCUCUUUCGUCUUCUGCUGCUUCUCUGGUAAUCGGAGAAAAUUGAGAUAAAUCGACGGAAAUCGUGAACGAGAGAGAUUUGAUUACUUGGAGUUGUUGGUAUUGUCUGGUUUUAUAAACGAGGUAAAGAAAUUACUCCAUUCUGUUUUUCAAUUUUGAAUCGAUUUUGUGUGGUGAGCGGUUUUUACCCAAAUGAUCGAAUAUGGUUCUUACCAACUUGAGUAUUGGUGUUACUACACUUGAUACGGGUUGUGAUUCAGUACCUAGUCUUGUUAAUUUCAUCCGUGAUGUGAAAUUGAUGUGAAAACAGGGAAGCUAGGGUUUAUCACAACUUGUUUUUUUUUUUAAUAAAGUUUGAUGAUCAAACUUAAAAUUUGGAUGAUAUUCGAUCUUGGGUUUACUGUAAUUUGUUUCAAUUUCUUGAUUACUAAUCUGGUUUGGGGAAAUUGUGAAGUAAGGUUUAUACUGUGAAUUUUGGCGAUUUUCCCCAAAUCUGAAUAAUACUUGAAUGAGUUUGAAAAACAUCCAUAGAAUUUGUGGUCAUACGUUAUAACAACUAUAUUUGUUUAGAAUUGAAUUUCUGACUUGGAAAAUAUUGUUUCGAAUAAUAUCUCGUGAACCAUGUUUGAUUAUGUUCUUCUGCAAUGAGCCUUAUUAGUUGAUGAAGUUCAGAAGUUGAGUUUAGAAAUUAAACUACCACCCUGUGGGAACUAGUUAAUUGGUCCAUAGUUGUUACUCAAUUUUUUUUUUUUUGAAGCAUGAAAUUUAUUAAACUACUAAAGGACUAUUACAUGAGGGUAUAUAAUUAAUACCCCAAGAUUCGUUACUCAACUUGAAGGAUAUGCUGGCCAUUUCUUGGUUUGGGAAGUGCUUUUUAAUUCAUUCCUUUAGUUUAUGAGGAUUGGAAAUAUUUGGUUUACCAGUGCUUAUCCAUUGUGUCAGGUUUGUUGCUCUCUAAUCCAUAUCAGUCAUGUUAUGUUUGACCUUGGCGUCUCUUCCAUGUUCACGCCUCUUUGGCUGUUUGGCAUUAUAUCUGUAGCUGUUAAGGAGAUGUGUCUGUGUUGUAAAUUGUAGUACAUGAUAUGUGACAUGUGUAUUGCUUGCUUGGUUGUCUCUGUAUUGUGAAUAAAAUUGAGAUAUAAAAUCUAGGUUUCGUAAAAAUGUUGAGAAGCCUUAGGUUGUCUAGAAUACAUGAAUGAUUGAUCUGUGUAGGACUGCAAUUUGAUACUUAGUGAAGCAGAGAAUUGUUAUUUGUGUUCUAUAUGUUGAGUCUGUUUAACUGCUAUUACAUCAUUAGUUCUGAGCAUUGUACGUGUCAGAAUUCAGUUAUCUGAAAUGGGUGCUUGAUUGCUUGCUUGCUUUAGAAGAAGAGUAUUGAAAGUGGGAGGUUUUGUCAUCUAAGCCACCGACAUAUUUGAUACCAAUUUCUAGUAGUGAUACAAUUAGGUAAACAAUUUGAACCACCUGUCAGCUGUCACCUGCAGUUCCAGCGGGUGUCAAUACUCAAUUGUAAUACCCGUCGUUUACAUUUUUUAUGAUUGACCACUAUUCUUGGAGGCUGCCACGAAGCCCCUUUUAAAACCCUAGCAAAACCCUAGCAAAAUCCAAACUGUAUGUUCCCUUCAGGCUAAAAAUAUUGCACAAGUUUAUUUUGGGGUUGAGUUUAAUUGGUUUCAAGUUCCCAUUGUUUGGACAGCCUCUUUAACAGUUGGAUCCCCACUUUUUUUUUGGUAUUGUUCAGUGAUGUAUAAAUCGAAGGUAACAAACAGUUAGCUCAAAAAAAUCUAGUCUAACCACCGACUUUUGUUUUCCGUUUUAAGCAGCACCGAUCUGCAGGUGCAAUUGCAAUUUCGGUUCCUUAUCAAAGUGUAGAUCAUUAAGAUGUGAUUGGAUUAUCUUUGACAUGAAAAAUAGGAUGCAGUUAAAUUUUUUUCUUAAUGGUAAUCUCCCAUAGAGGUUGAUAACCACUUUUAGCAACCUUGUGAUUCAUUCCGGUGGUCACUAUCAUUAUGCUUCAUUUUGGUUGGCCAUGCCCCAUGUAUAUCAAGCUACUUCGGCCAAGUGUGCUUUUAGGGUGUGCUCUGAUCAGAAAAGAGAGUUCCUCUCGAAAUUUCACAGUCCUGUCAGAAGGGCACUUUUGGUAAUUACACAAAUCAUUUCUCCACUUAAAAUCAGAAAUUGUAAAACCCUAAUCAGUCCUAGUCCGCCUUCAAUUUUCAGAUUUCCACAAUUUCAGAUCUUAUCUCAAGUUUUGCAGAUCGAUCCAUGCAAUAAAUUUCCCCACAAGUUUCAAUUCCUAUUUCUCAUUUUUGAUCUUCCCCCAAAUCAAAACCCCAAUAAGUGGAGUAUUCAUUUUGUUAUAUGGGAUUUUGGUGGAGGGAUCGGAACACACAAAGACAACCAUAGCAUGAUGAUAUUUCCUCUCAAAACAGAGCCUUAUGAAUUCAUGGAGGCCGGUAUAAGGAUCAAGGACGGCAUGUAUCAAUUUGAUACUCUUGCUGAUCAAAUUAGUGAGGCUGUUUAGGAAAUUUGGUACUUGAAUAUUUGGAAUCAGCCAUUUGAUUAUGAAAAGUGUAGCAGCCAUUCGAUUUCUCUGAGUACAAUCCGAGUCUGAGUCAUGUCGUGCAGGUAAACCUCAGCGCCUACCGGAAUUGCUACCUGGAUAAUCCAAUAAGAGAGUAUUCGUCUGGGGAGGACACGAUUGUUCUGAGGUUGGGUCAUGUGUUACCUAAUCGAAACUCAUCUUCAAACUGCAUUGGGGGCUUUUGUGAUACCUAAUCCGUGAUUCAGUUCUUUUUGUUUCCUCAUAUGUUGGUUUUCUUAUGUUUUCUGGUUUCAUGAUUUUUCGGCUAGUGCUAAGUUUAUGUUGGAUAAUUUACAGUAUAUUAGUUCUGAUUCAGACUGCAAUGGGGUUCUGAUAGUGCCAAGUGUCUAGUUAUACUUGUGUCGAUAAUUUCAGUUGAUUUUGUAACUGUGUUUCCAUCUGAAUUUGCCAGCAGUCAUGUUGUUAGACACUUUUCUCUCUCAAUCCAAUUUUACGGAUUUUGUAAGUGUUCGUUAGGUAUCGCUUGCAAGAAGAGAAAACUCAGCGUGUGGUCUUUGUCUCUGGAGAUGCUCGUGGAGAGUCUGACUACUUACGUCAAAGGCACUCCUGUUCUGAAAGUUUUUCUUACUUUUUGAGAUGAUUCAGUACCUUCCCUGGCUGCUCACAAUGAUAUGGUCCAAUUCUUAAAUGCAGCAAAAAUACGUUGCAAGGAUUUAAUCACUAAAGGAAGCGUUGGAGGAAUGUGGUCAAAACAUGAGAUUGAGCAAGCCGAAACUGCACUAGAUUUUGGAGCUGUUAAGUAUGUUCAACUGUGAUUUUGGACAAGAGUUCAACUGUGAAAUGUAUGGAUUCGUGAAGACGAUAAUCAGGGAUAGAGUUGCAGGUGGUAUCAUUAGGUGAGUCUAGCAUUCCACUUAGGGAAAAAUUGCAAAGGAAUGAGACUGUUGUUGAAGUGUUAUCUUCAGUUGAAGUACCUGGCCAAGAGGUAAUUCCAAAAGAGAUAAGGCUUGGAGAUGGUGAAGACCAAACUGAAAGUCAAGCAAGGCCGACAAUCAUCAGCUUUUGUUGUAUGGGUUUCUGGUGGAAUAUCGAAAACACAACGACAACCCUAGCAUUAUGGUAUUUCCUCUCAAAACCAAGUAUUACACUUAAAACUAGUGUAUUUUAUUGUAUUUUGCUGUUCGGAUACAACAGAAGAACACCUCUUUUGUUAGGCCUCCGCAUAGGAAGACAAAAGCUGCAUCGCCUAAUAUUAAUGUCAUGUAUGUCAUGGUAAUCUCUGCCUGGGUAUAAUUAUUCAAGGAUUGUCAUCCAGAGGCAGUUCACAUUUAAGCUUCCAAGGCUCUAUCAGGCAGCGGUCGCAAUGAGAGGAUAGGAAAAUAAAUUUCAGUUCAGUAUUUGAAGAACAAAUCUGCACCACGCACUGAUGGACCUGGCUCUGCAUGUCCGAGGUGUGCUCCACAUCUAAUACUGCAACAACUUUCGGUCUUGAAUUUGUGCACGCAUUCUUGGAUUCUAUUGAUAAUCAUUUUUGGAAUGUGCUAAUGUUCUAUUCUUUUUCCUAAACGUAGCAUAUUAAAUCAUCCGUAGCAUAUUAAUUCAUCCUGGUAGAACAAGUAUUUGGACCUAAAAUUUUUGGUAAAAUGAAUUUCUCAUCAAUGUGAUUAGCUUUACUCGAGUUGAAAAGUAAGUUACGGUAUGCCCCGGAGCACUAGGUUCGUGGAAUCAUUCCGGUCAUUGUAUAUUUAGGUAGGAAUUGUAUGUAAUUGUGAGCAUCCGAGAAGGUACAAGUCCUCUGCACAGC